CAUCUCGUACAGUCUGGUAUGUCAGCGACCUAGCUGGCCUAGCUAGCGUGUGCUAGAGCCAUUGGCGUAGCUAGCUAUCCGAAUUCUCUGAGAGGAUGGCUACUGUAGGACGUUGUCGCCUCCAUUCUUAAAAAAAUUACUACUUUUUUGAUUCUGCUCAUUCUGCUCACCUGAUUUGACAUGUUAAGGAAUUGUUCUCAGUCACCCCCGCAACGGCAUCGUUCACGAUAAACAUUUACAGGCCGGUAUGCUGGACGUGGGGAAGUGGCCAGUGUUUGCACUCCUGCCUCCUGAAGAACUUCGUCUCAUUCGCCAGGCUUGUGUUUUUGGUAGUGCUGCAAAUGAAGCGCUAUAUGUAACUGUUAAUGAUGAGGUAUUUGCUCUGGGCACCAACUGCAGUGGUUGUUUGGGACUUGGAGACCUGCAGAGUACUAUUGAACCUCGUAGGAUUGACAUCCUCUGUGGAAAGAAGAUUGUUUCAUUAAGCUAUGGCACGGGACCACAUUUGGUUAUCGCCACAGCUGAUGGAGAGGUUUAUGCUUGGGGCCAUAAUGGCUACAGCCAACUGGGAAAUGGGACCACCAACCAUGGACUAACCCCAGCUCUGGUCUCCACUAACCUGCUCAGCAAAAGAGUGACUGAGGUCGCCUGUGGCUCCCACCAUACCAUUGCUCUCACCACUGAGGGAGAGGUGUUUGCAUGGGGGUACAACAACUCGGGCCAAGUUGGCUCGGGCUCCACAGCUAACCAGCCUACUCCAAGACGGGUCAGCAGCUGUCUGCAGAACAAAGUGGUUGUCAACAUAGCCUGUGGCCAACUCUGCUCCAUGGCUGUGCUGGACAAUGGGGAGACCUACGGUUGGGGAUAUAAUUGUAACGGGCAGCUUGGCCUGGGCAACAACGGGAACCAGCAGACUCCCUGCAGGAUUGCUGCCAUUCAGGGUGUUAACAUUGUGCAGGUUUCCUGUGGAUAUGCACAUACAUUGGCCCUUACAGAUGAGGGACUUGUUUACGCCUGGGGGGCAAACUCUUAUGGGCAGCUGGGAACAGGCAACAAGAGUAACCAAUCCCUGCCUACACUCAUUAACAUGGACAAGGAGAGGAUGGUAGAAGUAGCAGCCUGUCACACAAGCCACACGUCUGCAGCUAAGACCCAGAGUGGUCAGGUCUUUAUGUGGGGUCAGUGUCGGGGACAAGCUGUAGCCUGUCCCCACCUUACCCACUUUGGCACAACAGAUGAUGUGUUUGCCUGCUUUGCUACGCCAGCUGUCACGUGGCACCUCCUUACUGUAGAUGGUGAUGACUAUCUAACGGUUGCACAAUCCUUGAAAAGGGAGUUUGACAGCCCAGAUAUCUCCGACUUAAAAUUCUUGGUUGAUGGAAAAUGCAUCCAUGUUCACAAAGCCCUCCUAAAAAUCAGAUGUGAGCAUUUCCGUGCCCUGCUGAAUGAGACAGAUGAGGAGUCCAUCGAGAUCCACCAGUUCUCCUACUUGGUGUACCGCGCCUUCCUAGAGUAUCUUUACACUGACACUAUCAACCUGCCACCAGAGGAUGCCAUAGGUCAGCCCGACAAGGGGGUUGCUGGACCUAGCCACAUACUACCGUGAAACCAGGCUAAAAAGACUCUGUCAGGAGACAAUAAAGAGAGGGAUCUCAGAGGAAAAUGCUAUAACCCUGUUCUCUGCUGCUGUAAAGUAUGAGGCCCGGGAGCUGGAGGAGUUUUGCUUCAAGUUCUGCGUCAACCACCUGACUGCUGUUACACAGACCGAGGCCUUUGCUGACAUGGACCAUGACCUUUUAAAGAACUUCAUCAGCAAAGCCAGCCGCUACGGGGCCUUCAAAAAUUGACUGCAUUGGAAUGGGCUUUAAGAUAAGAGAUGGAAGGUGAGUGGUCAGAACUUCAUUGAGAAACAUAAAAGCUAACCUGGUCAAAUUCUGUUCUUUUGCUGUUAACAUACCCUUACCUACCAAUCUGAAUGACCUAGCGAUAUAGUGACACCUCAAGCGAAAAACGGAGACCAAACAGGGAAACUACUGAGACUAUGGCAAAAUAGACACAACAGCAACCCCCACCUAUCUGCCAGUAUUGUCCUGUUGAACACCUGUGUGUGCGUGUGCGCGAGGAUACAUUUGUAUAUGAGAGGUCCCAAUUGGAACUCUGCAGUGCAAAGGUGUUUCAAAUGGAGGUCUCAUGUUCAAUUCAAAUUGGAAAAAAAAUGUUAAUCCCAGAUUCCAUAUCAGGGAGAGGAGUGUUCCAUAUUUGCCUAGAUAUCAGCAAUGAUGAAAAGGACAAACAUUUAACUUUUUGACCAAUCAGAAGUAUAAGGGAGUUUCUCCAGGCAUGGCAUGAGUUGCCCCUUCUCAUUGUCCUUAAAGCCUUUCCUAAAAUACGUUUUGUUUUACUGGUAGAUAACUUCGUAAUUCACAAUAAAUUAAAAGUAUUCAAAUUUCUACUUGAAACAUAAACAUUUUGGUUAGAACUUUUUUACUGACUGUUUUACAUGACCCAUAUUAAUUGUUAUUUUAGUUAUUUACAGUGGUCAAAUGUUACUGAGUGUUAUAGAAUACCUUUAUGCUUUUGUUAUCCAACAUUGGUUUUACUGUCAUCAUAUUGAGUAGCAUUUACCUGUGUAGAUGUGUAACUGUGUGUGCAGCUGGAAGCUUAUCUCUUGCUUUUAAAGGAAAGAUGACAGAUUAUCCCAUUUGCUGUAAUUAAUUUCCUGUUGCUGUCACCACAUAGUAGAACAAUAGUUUCAUAAUGCUGCAGGUGGUGUUACUUGCAGAUGUAGCAUGUUUACAGAUGUCAUCAUUUAACGUUUGUCAUUUCAAGAAUAUGCCUCUUGUGUGUACAUUUUCCCAAACCUCGCAUCAAUGAGAGCACUACUAAUAGACCAGUGCAAUAGCCAACUUCAAAUGGAGACUUCUGUGUUGAGCAACCAAUAAUUUAUUACAUUUUCUAUAAAAAUGCUUGUAAUCCAUUAAAGAUGAUGAUACAGAAA